AUUUAUAUAAUGUUAUAGACCAAUGUUAUCUCAAUAAAAAAAUUUUAAUAAAAUAAAAUAAAUUACUAGUUUCCCAUGUCACUGUAGCAUGUUGCUUUCCCAACAGCUGUGUAUGAGAGUUCCAGUCACUCCACAUCCUCAUGAAAUGUUGAUAUUGUCAGUCUUUAAAAAUUUUCAGUCCACUUAGAUUGAAAUAAAUUAUACAAAAUUGGUUUUCCUCAUCAAUAUCAACACCAAUAUUUUCUGUAUUAUGCCUAUAAAAAAACACAAAACAUUUCAUCUUUGCAAGUUUUUUAGAUUUUGCUUAUAAAUCAAAAUAAGGGAAUAGACAUAGUCAUUGAAAAAGCCAGAAGAAAGUAUACGAAUCAUUUGUCAGUAUCUUAGGCCUUUGUUGGACCUAAGAUGUAGGUAGGCUCAAUAAAAGAAAGUAAAUAGUAACAACUGGAUGUGAAAUAACAAUGGCAGGCUGUUCCAUUCAAAUUUAACUGUAGCUUGUUCCUUUACAUUUGUUAAAUAAAGACAAAAUAUACAGUGAAACUCUUGUCGGGUGAUCUGGGUUUCUCUUACUGUUAAUCUCCUUAACUGUCCAUUACAAAUUUUUAACAAAACUUAAAAUAUCUACUUGUCAAUUGUCAAUUUUUUUGUCAGUGUAAUAGGUGUGUAGUAUUACCUCAUUGUGGUCUCAAUUAGCAUUUCCCUAAAGGCUAAUAAUGUUGAGCAUCUCUUUAUAUGUUUAUUUGUCAUCUGUGUAUGUUCUUAGGCGAAGUGUCUUUUCAAAUAUUUUGCUAAUUGUUGGAGGUUGCUUGUUUUCUUACUGUUGAUUUUUGAGACUUCUUUAUAUAUUCUGCUUAUAAGUUUGUUGUCAGGUACAUGCUCUUUAAAUAAUUUUCCCAUUUUUGGAUUAUUUUUCCAUAGUGUUGGGAAAGUGGACAUCCUUGCCUUGUUCUUAAUCUUCUAGGGAAAGGAUUCAGUCUUGCACCUGUAAAUAUCGUGCUUACUGUAGGAUUUGUGCAGAUGCUUUAUAUAAUAUUGGGAGAAUUCCAUUCUAUUCUUAGUUUGCAUUAAUAAAGAUGCUACAGAAACUGAACCAAGCAUGAAAUCAGGUCCACAGCGCUCAACAGUGCAGGUGGCAGUCCAAAAUGAAGAAGCUUGCUGGAAUGUGGUUAAACUCUUCUUUGGGAACAACACAAAGCUGAGAUGCGUAGAGAAAGAAAAAGAGAUAAACAACACUCUGUAUAGCAACAUGAGUAUGUUACUUCAGCUUCCACAAUCUUGUCAGUAAGUUUACAAACCACAGUACAUAUAUAUAUGGUAAGCUGUUACUUAUAACAAGUCUGCUAUUAAUAUCCAGAAUUUGGAGUUGGAAUGGAAAAACUAUUAGAAUUACCAACUUACUCAAUUACCUAACUAAGCUAUAAUCUGCAUACCACAUUUAAAUAAAUGGAAAUUUUCUGAAACGCCUUUUUAAUUUACACCAAGCAUGUUCUUUUUUCACACAAAUUAAGUCUAUUAGCCUACAGUUUGUUGACUUUUAAAUAAUAAUAUAAAGAACUACCAACAAUAUACUAGCAAAUCUUUAUAAGGGCAUGAAUGUGUGUGUGUGUGAGAGAGAGAAAGAGACAGAGAGUAGUUAUAUGCAUAAUUUCAUAAUUAUUUAAAUAUUGCUUUGAUUUUACAAAGUUCUUUUCAUAGAGUUCUCAUUAAACAAAUAUUUCAAAUGACUAUUUUAUCCUCAAA